UCCAGCAAAGACUUUCAGGAAGACCUUGGGCCAGUUGCACACAGAUGUUUAGGCUACUGAGUUAUAAUUCUUAGAAGUAACUCGUAUUUUCUGAGACAUGUUGAUGUGAAAGAUCUGUCAGUACGCAAAUAUUUUUUUUUUCUUAGUGCUCACAAAACAACGUCUGAAGAGAGUGUCACGCAGAGGCAUUUUAGACUGUGCAACCUGACCAGUUUGAACUCUGAAAGAUCAAAUUAUUUAUUUAUUUGUUUGUCUUUCCUUCUCAAAGACAGUUAAUUACUGAAGCAUCGAGAACAUUUUGUAUUCCCGCUUUGCGGUGGUGCCUUGCAACCCGGAGACUAAUGAGAGCAAGUUCUCACCCCAGCUGUGAACUUGCUGACUUUCCUGCUCGGAAACCCAACCCGAGCAGAGCAUCUGAACAUUGGACUCAGGAUGGAGCUAGGCAGACUCCACAGACCUGGCCGAGGGAUAGGAGGUGGGAGUGUUGUGGAUUCUGGUAAAAAGGAAACAGAAUGCAUCACCUGGAAGGUGUUUAGACCAGUCAUAGGCAGUUUAUGUAGUUCCUGCCUCCGUCUAGAAUUGUCUAUUGGCAAGCGGUUGCCAUGGAUACUCUAACCAGUAUCAAAACAUGAAGUAUUUGAUCUCAGAAAAUCAUCUCUUAUAUCUCAAGAAGCCAAAAAUACACUUUGGAGAAGAGACACCUCUUCAACAAAUGGAGGUGGUCAAACUGGAUAGCUACAUGCUGAAGAAUGAAAUUAGAGCCUUAUCUCUCACCAAUCACAAAUCUCAAUUCCAAAUAGAUAAAGGACUUCAUUACAAGACCUAAUACCCUAGAUCUAAUAGUGGAGAAAGUAGGGUACAUGCUUAAACUUACAGACAUAGGAAAGAACCAUCUGAACAAGGCCCUACUAGUGGCAUUAAGAACAAUAAUUAACAAGUGAAAGCUCAUUAAAAAAAUUGUGCUAAAAAGAAAAUCAUCUUUCAUGUAAAGAAGCUGCAUAAUGAUUAGGAAAUUUUUUUUACCAAUUAUACUUCUGACAGAGAGUCAGUGUCUGUAAUAAAAAAAAAAAACAAACAAACUCACAAAAUGAUAUACCAAAAAAAACAACCUAUAAUCUAAUUUAUUAUUGGAGCAUGGUCUUAAACAAAGUUUUCCAAAUUAAAAAAAAAAAGAAAGAAAGAAAGAAAAAUGUCUGAGAAAUUUUUGAAAAAGUUCAACAUCCUUAUCCCUUAUCCAUCAUGGAAAUGCAAGCUAAAACUACUUUGAGAUUUAAUCUUAUCCCAGUAAGAAUGGCUAAGAAAAAAAAAAAGUAGAUUGAAAAUGCUGGCGCGGAUGGUGAACACUUGUCUGCUGUUGGUAGGAGUGAAACCUGGUACCACCACUGUGGAAACCAGCGCUGCACGUCGUCAGAAAGCUAGAAACAGAGCUACCAUACGACACAGCUCUUCUGCUCCCGAUUACAGUUACAUACAGUGUUAGGAAUUUGGAACCAAACCUGCUUCUGGGUUGCCUAACAACUCAUGAUGUCAUCAUGCGUCACCGGCCAGGUGGCCACACCUGGAAGGCGUGGUUACCUUGCCCCUUAAAGGGACAACCCAACACGUGGUCUCUCUUGCUCCCCAUCUUUUGGCCUCUUGGCCUUCUUCUCUUUCUCUAUCGGGUGCCCCCUCUCCCCCUCUUUUCCCUUCUCUCAUUUUUCCUCUCUCUUUCUCUCCUGCCUCAUCCAGAGACGGUCUCUGCAACCCCUUCCCCUAAUAAACCUCCCACUUGGAACCAGUCGCGUGGCGUUAUUUGUGAACCAGCCGUGUAGCUCUCUUCCGCACGACUGAUUCUAACAUAUAGGACUUUAUAUCCUCAGAGAGAGACAUCACUGCUGCUCUAUUCACAUUAGGCAGAAAAUGGAAACAACCUGGAUGCCCGUCAAGUAAUCAGUAAAUAAUAUAAUAAUUAUACGCAAUAGAGUAUUAUUUAGCUGUUAAGAAUUGCAAUUUGAUAUUUUCAGAUAAAUGAUGGAACUGGAAAGAAUCAUCCUGAAUGAGGUAGUUCAGACCUAGAGAGACAAAUUCUGAAAGUUCCCUCUCAUAUUUGUAUGGCAAUUUGAAAUUGACGUGUGUAUUUACAUUGAAGUUCCCAUAGAAGAUAGGGAAAUUACUAAAGGGUCAUGGAGAUAAACUUCCAGGACAGAGAGAGGGAAUGCAGGUACAUGAAGGGGGGCGGGGCGCAGGGGACAUUAAGUAGCAUGGAGAAUGGGAAGGCAGAGGAUAGAAUGCAGGAAGGGAUAACUAGCAUUAAAGGCAUUUGAAACUUUUAGAUUUGUUUAUGUUUUAUAUGUAUGCCUGUUUUCCUCCAUGCCUGUAUGCAUAGCAUAUACACGCCUGAUGCAUCAGAAGAUGGCACUGGAUCCCUGAGAACUGGAGUUACAGAAGGUUUUGAGUAUUUUCGUGGUGCUGGGAACUGAAGCCAGGUCCUCUGCAAGAACAAGUGAUUUUAACAGCUGAGCCAUCUCUCCCGCCCCCACUAAACACAGUUGAAAAAAAAAUCAUGUGGGAAACUCGUACUGAAUAAGCUUCCUAAAAAUAAGCACAUGUACAUAUGUUAAAUAUUUAAAAAAAGUUACUCUGUGACAGAGGAACAAUACCUUUCCCAGAUACUAAGGGUUAGCCGAAAGCCCAGAGUCAAGUAGAGGAAGUGGUUUUUCUGAGUUAUUGGUCAGUGGGGUCUCUUAAAUCUUCCAUAGGCUAUUGCCAUUAUUACUUUUGGUUACCUUCCAGAACGUGAUGGUGAGACUUUAUUAGCCAAGAAACCACAUACUUUUAGGCCUUUCAAGAGAAGAGAACUUUCUAUGUCGGAUAAUGAAAUUUGGGGGUAACCACAAAGAAUCAGGUGAGAGCAGGUUUUAUAUUUUAUGAUUUAUUGCUUGAGAGUUCCAAACAUACACAGAAUACAUUCAAUCAAACUGGCCACCUAGUUCAUGUCCUCCAAUUCUUCCUCUAUUUCCCACCACUACUUUAUCACUUUUCCUUUCUGACUUCAUGUUCUCUACGUGUGUCUGUCUGUCUGUCUGUCUCUUCCUCCCUCCUUCCCUUCCCUUCUCCCUCAGACCCACUGAUUGCAGUUAGCACUGAGGGCUUGUACAUGAGUGUAGGACUAGCUAUUGGAGCAUGGAAAGCCUCUCAGGGGUCACAUCUCUGUCGAGCAUCAAUUCCCCUCCCUCAGCAGUUAGCAAUUGCCUAUAGCUCCCCAACUAUCAUUAGGACUCCAUGAGUCUCUCCCCCAUCUAAUGCUAGCAUUUUAGAUGGCUUGAACCUAUGCAGAUCUUCUUCACAUAGUAAUGACCACUGUGAGCUCGUGUGCCACAUUUGAUGUAUUAAGCAAAGAGCUAAUUACAGGAAACCUCAGCUCUGUGCUUUGUGGGCCUCCUACAGAGUUAGAUGCAUGGUCCAUUGGCUUAAAAGACUGACAGUUUCAAUGCUGGGAAAUUCACUUGGGAAUACUAAUGACUGAGAAGGCUAGGACAAAUAAACUCAUCGGAGAAACAGCAGUGUUCUUUUUCUGUUGUCUACCAAGAACAACGAAUUCAUCCAGAACACUGUGCAAGAUCUCUUGAUGGAAAGUGUGCUGAAUGACAUGACUGAUGCAAAAGGACCUGUUCCCACAUGUAUCUCUGCUCUUUGCAAGCUGAUGUUCAUCUACCGCGAUGCCUCAAGUCCAUCUGCUCUCGUAUUGUUUACUCUUCAUCUUUCUCUCUUGCUGCUCUCCCCUUGUUUGCCUAAUCCUUGAAGUGUUUAAAAUUUCUUGGCCUUAACAAAAUCCUCCUUCUCUGAGCUGUGGGCUGUGCUUUAAAGGCCAACUACCAUCUCAAGAGUCAAAUGCCACUUCUCUUGAAAAGCUCAGUCUGGUUUAGUCAUGACCAUAUGACAUUUUGGGAGUUGAUGCUGCCAUUGGUAACAUUUGUCCAUUUGCUGUUUCUUUAUCUGUCCUGUAGGCAUAAGGUUGUUGGGUAAUUCAAAUGUUAAUUUCUGUAUUGCCUUCCCCCAAUAUCUGGUUGAAGUCCUUGUCCUGAGAAUCUCCUGUCUCAGUGUUGUGUAAACACUGCUCCCCAAUUAUCUCCUGAUACCCAAUAAGCAAAGAAAGUAGCUCACAGCCAAUCACUGAGAAAGGGAGAGAAUAGGGCUGGAGUUUCUGUCAGCCAGGGGACGGGGAGUUAAGAGGAGGAAGUAGGGGACUGAGGCACAGAAGAUUGCCAAGUGAGAACAAGAGAGGAACUGGAUCAAGAAAGCUAAAAAACGCAAGUAUCUCUGGGUUGAAUGCUGGGAGGAAGCCAAAUUAACUUAAGUUAAGAAUAGAAUAAUAUUGCUCAGGAUUAUGCUGUGAAGCUUUAUAAACAAAUACAAAAAAGUCUCAAUGAUUUGAGUAAUAGCUCAGGUAAGAGAGAAACUGGGAACCAAAAUCAAUUAUGUAAAAAUAACAUUAACAGUGUCUGCUGGCUUUUUUUCGUCAUUGGAAUUCUGU